ensembl:lncRNA
CGGGCCGGUGGGGAGGGGGGGGGCCGGGCCCGAGGGUGGUGAGGGGCGAGGGUGUGGGAAAGAGGCCGCGAUGGGCGCGCCCGCGCGGGCUGCCUGGACGUGUCCGUAGCCCCGAAGGCCCCGGGCAGCCCGGUGCCUUUUUUACAGCAAACCAGUCGAUGUUAAAAAACGGCUUGGCCGCUCUCCAGGAGCGAGGGCGGAGGUAUGCGGUGAGCACAGGCGGGAGCCCGCAGCGGUGCUGGGGGACGGUGCUGCACCGGGGCAGGUGGGCCCCGUGCCUCAAACACUGCCGGCCUCCGCGGGGCAGCGCUCUUCAAACCCAGCAGUCGUUUCUUCUAAUAAAUAAUGCACUACGCUUACACAUACAAGUUUGAGGGAGAUGGAGUUGUUACUGUGUGACCGCUAUGAAGGAGGUUGUGGUGAAGAGGCCUCUUCUCCCAGUAACAGCUACAGGACGUCAGGUAAUGGCCUUAAGUCGUACCAGGGGAGGUUCAGGUUGGAUAUUAGGAAACAUUUCUUGUCAGAAAGAGUGGCGAGGCACUGGCACAGGCUGCCCAGGGAGGUGGUGGAGUCACCGUCCCUGGAGGUGUUCCAGAACUGUGGCACUGAGGGACGCGGUCAGUGGGCACAGUGGGGGUGGGCUGAUGGUUGGACUUGAUGAUCUCGGACAUCUUUUCCAACCUUAAUGAUUCUAUCGCUCUGUGAUUCUACGUCCCACUGACACCACAAGCACUGGAUUGCCCCAUUGUGGCAUCUGGCUGUCCUUUACGGCACCUCCGAGACCAAUGGCCAAGGUGGAGUCAAGAAACACAAUGGCUCGGACAAAAUCUCACUGCCCGAUCUCAUUUUCGGGCUGCUCAUUUCCUGAGUAUGACGAUAUAGAGACCGGCUGUCCCAACCCAUCUCAGAAAGUGUUGGUGGCAGCGUGAGGGCAAGGCGGGUGGGGGUGGUGAGGCAUGGCAGCAGCUGCCACGGGACCAGUGUCAUCACCUUAUUGCUGGAAGGCCAGAGAGCAAGGAACGAGCUCCCUCGCAAGGAUAGAAGGAAUAACAGGAUCCUUUCGCUGUAAGAACCCAAACAGAGCCUGCAGAGUUCUAUUUUCUCAGGCUUCUGUUCCCACCAGAACUUUUCCAGGGCAGUUACAGACAGUACAUUGAGGAAGCUGAUCUUGUGACAAUAAACACUGCACCGUGUGUUUAGGUUUGCUUUCUUUCCUGAUACUUGCUGCGUUUUCUGUGAGUCUUCGAUAGAGAUGGAUGCAUUCCUGUGGUAUAGGAGCUCUAGAGAGUCAUAUCAAUGACAAAAAGGAUUAAAAUUCAAAGUUAAUGUAUGUAUCACAUCAGAUUGAAGGGAAAUCUCUCCCUGUUGCUUGCUGGUGGUUUCUCCUGUGCCAUGCCAAGGUGUGAGCCUACAGAUUUUGGCACUUCUUUCCUGGAUUUGUUUGAAGAAUGAACGUCACUGAGAAGGCGGUGUGAUCCAAACCAGCUUUCCUGGCCUGAGCUGUUCAUUACCAUCACACCAAGCAUGACUGUAAAUGACCUUCUGUACCCUUGAUUGUAACUACUGAGUACAGUAAACACCGCCUGGACAUCGCCUCUGCAAAAAUCUCCCCUUUCUUCCCCUGGGGCUCUUGUCAGCUCCAGGAUGACAGGAAGCAUCUGCAUCAGCUCCCAGCAACACUUCAGUGGUGCUUGCAGACAAAUUCCUAUUUCCCAAAGAUGGGAAGAAGAUUCCCAGAAGAAGGAGGUCAACUGCCUCAGACAGAAGGGCCAUGGAAGAGCCCCUUGGACACUCCCCUUGGCGGACAAUAUGCUGAUGCACGUUAGUGACUUGAUAGCGAGCUCUUGCUUUGUGGGGGCUGCUGAAGGAUGUCCUUGGUGCUUCUGUGCAGUUACGGGCUCACUGAGUCUCUCCACCAGCAUGCCACUGUGGGUUUGGCUGCAAGGCUUUCAAAGCCUGAGUGCAGCGAGCAGUGCCCAGGUGGCGUUUCUGAUGGCAUCCAUGAUGUGUCUUCUGGUAGAGGAAUGAAUAGAGCUGCUAACCACUGACCCUUGCAAACCUGCCAGAGGGAAAAAAAACAAUAAAGGAAAGUAGGCAGCAGAGCAGGGCCACACUAUUUCUAGCAACUGAGAGCUCUGAUCAGGAGAUGGACAGGUGAGGAUUUCAUUGCACUGGGGGGCAGGCUGCAGUGUCUUCCAGGCCCGAGCGGUCUGCCUGCUGUGGGGCUGCACGCCAGCAUACCCAAUAGUGUGCUAACUGUUGCUGUUUAAUCUCCAGCAUCUUGUUUGACGCCUCGGUGUAAUAAUGAUGGAAAUAAUAAAUGGCGUGCUACAAAGCCGUGUGCGUGGACUCGCUUUGUGCUGACGGCGGUGCCUUGCUCCCGGCGCGGCUCGGUGCCAGCCUGCUUCCAGCUGAGUCAGUUGGAGCAGGCAAAGGCCCAGCUCAACAGCUGGC